CUGUCAUCCGUUAAAGAGCAGUAUAAAGACGAAGUGCAUACACCAAAGACUUUACAUAAAUUGCAAGUAUAUGUUUAAACUGAAUUAGAUAAGCACGAAAUUCAGUAAUGUUUUUGAUUAUUUUAGUGUAUCAUCAAAUAAUGUGACACUUUAUCGAUUUUAUUAAGACAUAGAAUACGAAUGGAUAACAUUGUUGACGAUAUCAAGAAGCUGCAGGAUUCAAACGCUGCUGUUAAAAGUGUCAUCGAAAAUUUUCGAAAGCUUCAAGACUUUUGGGGCGAAAAGUCGAAGGUAGGACACCGACUCAUUUCAAAAGAUGUACAAAUAGAUACAUUUAACACUGUCUAUAAGGUACAUGGACCGAUAUACGUACAUAUCAAAAGAAAUGUUACUGUCGAGACCAACAUAAUAUCCCUGACCGAUAUACAUACACAUGAACGGAAACGGGGCUGUCGAGACAAACAUGUUUCGGACAAAAAGUCAAAGAAAGAAGACCAACACAUUUCAGAAGACGUACAAAUAGACACAUUUAACACUGUCUAUAAGGUACAUGGACCGAUAUAUGUACACAUCAACAGAAAGGGUUCCAAGGAUUUAAAAAGAUCAAUUCUAAUUCAGGCCCGACAACCAAACGCUACAAGACAAAUACAUUUUGUAGAUAACGAAAUUUUUCCAAAGCUUAAAACCUUUUGGGAAGAAAAGACCAAGGCGGAAGAAAAUCGACACAUUUUAAAUGAUGCACAGAUAGAUACAUUUAAUACUGUCUAUAAGUUACAUGGACCAAUAUACGUGCAUAUUCACAGAAAGAAAAUUGUCAAAACAAUGAUUAUAGCCGUCAAUGAAAAGGUUCCUAGAAGACAAACAGAGACUUUUAAAAGUUUUCUCGCUGGAGCAGGUGUUUUAGGGGUUUGCUUUGUUCUGGUAAGAAUGUUAAUGCCACAUUCUGUAAACAUUCGUUUGAUCUAGCAUUCCCUCUUAAAAUAAAACUAACCAACGACACCAGGCUUAAACAUGUUCAAAGUUACCAGCAUAACACAUGUUCAAAGAUACCAGGACCAACAUGUUCAGUUGCUAUUUAUCUAAUGUUGAUCCAAAUAUAUUUGUAUGGGACUUAUGAUGGACAAGAAAUCAUAGAUAAAACAAUCGAAACGGGCAUCUUGAACUAAAUUUUAAUGUGCGUAUUGUUAUGCGUUUACUUUUCUACAUUGGCUAGAGGUAUAGGGGGAGGGUUGAGAUCUCAUAAACAUGUUUAACCCCGCCGCAAUUUUGCGCCUGUCCCAAGUCAGGAGCCUCUAGCCUUUGUCAGUCUUGUAUUAUUUUUAAUUUUAGUUUCUUGUGUACAAUUUGGAGUUUA